UUUCCUGUUGAGUGUUUCUUUUGACGUCUCAGCGUCCCUUUGUUGUGUUUUUUUUCGACGUGUGUUAGCCGAGCUACGAGUGCUCUAAUACUUCUCUGGAUAGAGAAGAUACGUAGGCAUAGGACGCGAUGUCUUAGCGAGCAUGUCUCCCUUUCCCUGAACUACGUUGACUCUGAUGUUUGUUUCUGACAAACUACGUAGGCCCAGG
rnacentral:lncRNA from 1 species